rnacentral:rRNA from 1 species
UACGAAGGGGGCUAGCGUUGUUCGGAAUUACUGGGCGUAAAGCGCGCGCAGGCGGCUAUCCAAGUCAGUGGUGAAAGCCCGGAGCUCAACUCCGGAACUGCCAUUGAAACUGUUUAGCUUGAGGACGAGAGAGGUGAGUGGAAUUCCCAGUGUAGAGGUGAAAUUCGUAGAUAUUGGGAAGAACACCGGUGGCGAAGGCGGCUCACUGGCUCGUAUCUGACGCUCAGGCGCGACAGCGCGGGGAUCAAACAGG